CAUAGAAAGACAAAUGUAUCUGAUUGAUGUACUGGUUGAUACUCUAUUGAUGUCAAAGCACAAUAAAUAUAACAAAAAAAAAUAAAUUGUUGAACUUUACAUCAUCAACCACGAUCAAACAAAAAUAUUUUUUUUUCGUGGGCGUAUCUUUAAAUUUUAUUUGUACAGGUGUUAUAGUACCAUUGAAUCUUAUUUACAAAAUUUACUAAUUUACUAAUUUACUAAUUUACAAAAUUUACUAUUCGUGAGCAGCAAUUUAAAUGAUAAAAGCAAUUUACAUAUAUAUUUUUUUUUCAAUAAGUACACCGCAAAAAUGUAAUUUAAAAAUAAUCGUUGAAUAAAAAUGGCAUAUUGG